AGUCGAGGGGCAGCGGAUCCCUCCGGGGAUGCCGGCGACCGGCGAACGGGUGAGUAACACGUAUGGAACCUACCCUUAACUGGGGAAUAGCCUUGAGAAAUCGAGGGUAAUACCCCAUACCAUCUGGAAGAGGCAUCUCUUUCAGAUGAAAGCUCCGGCGGUUAAGGAUGGCCAUGCGGUCCAUUAGCUUGUUGGUGAGAUAACCGCUCACCAAGGCUACGAUGGAUAGCUGAUCUGAGAGGAUGAUCAGCCACAUUGGCACUGAGACACGGGCCAAACUCCUACGGGAGGCAGCAGUAGGGAAUCUUGGUCAAUUGGCGAAAGCCAGAACCAGUCAUGCCGCGUGCAGGAUGAAGGCCCUACGGGUCGUAAACUGCUUUUAUUCGGGAAGAAAAAGUCUGUUUCCACAGACCUUGACGGUACCGAUUGAAUAAGGACCGGCCAACUCCGUGCCAGCAGCCGCGGUAAUACGGAGGGUCCAAGCGUUAUCCGGAUUCACUGGGUUUAAAGGGUGCGCAGGCGGCCAAGUAAGUCAGUGGUGAAAGCCUUCGGCUCAACCGGAGAAUUGCCAUUGAAACUACUUGGCUUGAGUGCAGCAGAGGUAGGCGGAAUGUAGCAUGUAGCGGUGAAAUGCAUAGAUAUGCUACAGAACACCGAUAGCGAAAGCAGCUUACCACACUGUAACUGACGCUGAGGCACGAAAGCAUGGGUAGCAAACAGGAUUAGAUACCCUGGUAGUCCAUGCCGUAAACUUUGAACACUCGGAGUUUGCCACCUAGUGGUAAGCUCCCUAGCGAAAGCGUUAA
rnacentral:rRNA from 1 species